UAGGGAUAAAUACUACUUCAGACUUCUACAUAAUUGUACUUUUUCUUUUUUGAUGAAGUCUAUUUAGAUACCAAAUCAUUUGAAAAGAUCUUGCGAUUGGAUGUAACAUUAAGAAUUUAAAUCUGUCUUAAUCAGUGGUAAAUCAUUUUAUCAUGAAUGCUGAUUAUCAACCCCUGAUGAAGUCCUAACGGACGAAACGCGUUGGGUUUACACUAUUGAGCUAACAAUAGCUAUAAUACAAGCCCCUGAUUGGAUGCACGUCUCCUACAAGUUCUGACUGAUCACCUGACUGUAAAUUCCUCACAACUAUGUAUAAGAUUGUUUAAUUGUUUUAUUGAACUUUUAGAUAUUUGUACCUAGGACAAACUUUUAGGUUA